rnacentral:lncRNA from 1 species
AGAAGAUCAAAAAUUUCAAUCAUUUUGUUGAAAAUGAUUUAUGGUAGACCCUUAGCUCUGUAUUUUUGCUGAGCUACCAAGUAUAUCUACCAAGUCUAAAUUUUUAAGAACUGCAUUUCAUUAAAGAACUGAUACUUUAUUAAAUUAUUGUAAAUGUUGCAAUCAAAUCUGAUGUGUAUCUUUGUCAUCUUCUUAAAAUCUAAAACAAGCAUUCCACAUGGAUCUUCUAGGCUCUGAGGAAAUUUCUACCUGCAUAGGCACAUGGUACCUGUCUUCCUCCCAGGUUCCUCACACCACUCCUCCGAACUCACCAUUCACUAAGGAACUUCCAGCUCCAGGAUAACCUCAGGUUCCAUGUCUGCCAUUCCCUUCCACCCAGGCAAAAUUCAGAUCUUUUCAGAUGCAGGAAUGAAUCCAAAGUCUUUGCAUAUCUUGCUCAGCUUUUUCAUCUAUUCUCUGAAUGUACUGCCAAGGACAUCUGCUUCUGCCCUGCCAUCUAUUUGCCCACAGCCUUAUAAAGAGCUUUCUAGAUACUAUUAUAUUCAGAGAUUUCACUCCUUAAACCAUAUUAAAACACACCUACAUCCUACAGUAAAUAUAGUUUUGGUGUAAAAUAAUUUAUAGAGGAUUUGCCUUACACAAUUCACUUAGUACAGGAAUGAUUCUUGCAUGAUUUCUUAAUAAACAUGGGCUUUUAGGCA